UACGGGGGGGGCAAGCGUUGUUCGGAAUUACUGGGCGUAAAGGGUUCGUAGGUGGCCAACUAAGUCAUACGUGAAAUCCCUCAGCUUAACUGGGGAACUGCGUCUGAUACUGGUUGGCUUGAGUGCAGGAGAGGAACGCGGAAUUCCAGGUGUAGCGGUGAAAUGCGUAGAUAUCUGGAGGAACACCGGUGGCGAAGGCGGCGUUCUGGACUGCAACUGACACUGAGGAACGAAAGCCAGGGAGCAAACGGG
rnacentral:rRNA from 1 species